rnacentral:rRNA from 1 species
CAGUAGCCGCGGUAAUACGAAGGGUGCAAGCGUUACUCGGAAUUACUGGGCGUAAAGCGUGCGUAGGUGGUGGUUUAAGUCCGUUGUGAAAGCCCUGGGCUCAACCUGGGAAUUGCAGUGGAUACUGGGCGACUAGAGUAAGGUAGAGGAUAGUGGAAUUUCCGGUGUAGCAGUGAAAUGCGUAGAGAUCGGAAGGAACAUCUGUGGGGAAGGCGACUAUCUGGGCCAUUACUGACACUGAGGCACGAAAGCGUGGGGAGCAAACAGGAUUAGAUACCCCCGUAGUCCCUGUCUCUUAUAC